rnacentral:rRNA from 1 species
AGCAGCUUGCUGCUUCGCUGACGAGUGGCGGACGGGUGAGUAAUGUCUGGGAAACUGCCUGAUGGAGGGGGAUAACUACUGGAAACGGUGGCUAAUACCGCAUAACGUCGCAAGACCAAAGAGGGGGACCUUCGGGCCUCUUGCCAUCAGAUGUGCCCAGAUGGGAUUAGCUUGUUGGUGAGGUAACGGCUCACCAAGGCGACGAUCCCUAGCUGGUCUGAGAGGAUGACCAGCCACACUGGAACUGAGACACGGUCCAGACUCCUACGGGAGGCAGCAGUGGGGAAUAUUGCACAAUGGGCGCAAGCCUGAUGCAGCCAUGCCGCGUGUAUGAAGAAGGCCUUCGGGUUGUAAAGUACUUUCAGCGGGGAGGAAGGUGUUGUGGUUAAUAACCGCAGCAAUUGACGUUACCCGCAGAAGAAGCACCGGCUAACUCCGUGCCAGCAGCCGCGGUAAUACGGAGGGUGCAAGCGUUAAUCGGAAUUACUGGGCGUAAAGCGCACGCAGGCGGUCUGUCAAGUCGGAUGUGAAAUCCCCGGGCUCAACCUGGGAACUGCAUUCGAAACUGGCAGGCUUGAGUCUUGUAGAGGGGGGUAGAAUUCCAGGUGUAGCGGUGAAAUGCGUAGAGAUCUGGAGGAAUACCGGUGGCGAAGGCGGCCCCCUGGACAAAGACUGACGCUCAGGUGCGAAAGCGUGNGGAGCAAACAGGAUUAGAUACCCUGGUAGUCCANGCCGUAAACGAUGUCUACUUGGAGGUUGUGCCCUUGAGGCGUGGCUUCCGGAGCUAACGCGUUAAGUAGACCGGCUGGGGAGUACGGCCGCAAGGUUAAAACUCAAAUGAAUU